GUAACGCGUGAGCGACAUGCCCGUUGCCCGGGGACAACCGGUGGAAACGCCGACUAAUCCCCGAUGGGAUAUUGUGCCGCAUGGCACGAUAUUGAAAGUUACGGCGGCGACGGAUUGGCUCGCGUCCGAUUAGCUUGUUGGCGGGGUAACGGCCCACCAAGGCUACGAUCGGUAGGGGUUCUGAGAGGAAGGCCCCCCACAAUGGGACUGAGACACGGCCCAUACUCCUACGGGAGGCAGCAGUGAGGAAUAUUGGUCAAUGGGCGGAAGCCUGAACCAGCCAUGCCGCGUGCGGGAAGGAGGCCCUAUGGGCUGUGAACCGCUUUUGCCUGGGGGCAAUAAGGGCGUCGCGCACGCCCGAUGAGAGUACCAGGCGAAUAAGCAUCGGCUAACUCCGUGCCAGCAGCCGCGGUAAUACGGGGGAUGCGAGCGUUAUCCGGAUUCAUUGGGUUUAAAGGGUGCGUAGGCUGUGCGUCAAGUCGGGGGUGAAAUUCCGGUGCUCAACACCGGGGCUGCCCUUGAUACUGUCGCGCUGGAGUGCGGAUGCCGCCGGAGGAAUGAGUGGUGUAGCGGUGAAAUGCUUAGAUAUCACUCAGAACACCGAUUGCGAAGGCAUCUGGC
rnacentral:rRNA from 1 species